AUUGAACGCUGGCGGCAGGCCUAACACAUGCAAGUCGAGCGAGCGGCGGACGGGGGAGUAAUGUCUGGGAAACUGCCUGAUGGAGGGGGAUAACUACUGGAAACGGUAGCUAAUACCGCAUACCAUCAGAUGUGCCCAGAUGGGAUUAGCUAGUAGGUGGGGUAACGGCUCACCUAGGCGACGUUCCCUAGCGGGUUUGAGAGGAUGACCAGCAACACUGGAACUGAGACACGGUCAGGACUCCAACGGGGGGCAGCAGGGGGGAAUAUUGCACAAUGGGCGCAAGCCGGAGGCAGCAAUGCCGCGUGUGCGAAGAAGGCCUUCGGGUUGUAAGGCACUUUCAGCGGGGAGGCGUUACCCGCAGAGGAAGCACCGGCUAACUCCGUGCCAGCAGCCGCGGUAAUAC
rnacentral:rRNA from 1 species